GAUGCAGCGCGGCGACCGCGGGGGCCGGGGGUUUGAACGGAGGGUCUCCCGACCGCGGCGGGGCUGCGUCGUCUGCGACGGGUGCGGGCGACGGCGUCGGCCGGGGCAGGGGUCCAGGCCCCGAGGCUGAGGCUGGCGCGGCGGGCGCUGGGGGCCCUGCCCCCGAGGCGAUGAUGGGCAAGGAAGAGGAGAUUGCGCGGAUCGCCCGGAGGCUGGACAAGAUGGUGACCAAGAAGAGUGCGGAGGGAGCCGUGGACCUGCUGCGGGAACUGAAAGCCAUGCCCGUCACACUGAACCUGCUGCAGUCUACACGGGUUGGCAUGUCUGUCAACGCCCUGCGGAAGCAGAGCUCUGAUGAGGAGGUCAUCGCGCUGGCCAAGUCUCUGAUCAAGUCCUGGAAGAAGCUCCUGGACGCCUCUGAUGCCAAAGCCAGGGAGCAGAGCAGGGGCGGGCCUCUCCCCCCAUCGUCCUCGAAGGAGCCCCCCGAGGCCAAGGAUCCCAGCCGCAAGAGGCCAGAGCUACCCAGGAUGCCGUCGGCACCGAGGAUCACCACGUUCCCACCAGCGCCAGUCACAUGCGACGCCGUGCGCAACAAGUGCCGGGAGAUGCUGGCUGCAGCUCUGCGGACGGACCAUGACCACAUGGCUGUUGGCGCGGACUGCGAGGGCCUGUCGGCCCAGAUUGAGGAAUGCAUCUUCCGGGAUGUGGGAAACACGGACAUGAAGUACAAAAACCGUGUGCGGAGCCGCAUCUCCAACCUCAAGGACGCUAAGAACCCUGACCUGCGGCGGAACGUUCUGUGUGGCGCCAUCACACCCCAGCAGAUCGCGGUCAUGACAUCAGAGGAGAUGGCCAGUGAUGAGCUGAAGGAGAUCCGGAAGGCGAUGACCAAGGAGGCUAUCCGGGAGCACCAGAUGGCCCGCACGGGGGGCACUCAGACGGACCUGUUCACCUGCGGAAAGUGCAGGAGGAAGAACUGUACCUACACGCAGGUGUGCCCCGGCCCCUCCGUCAUGCUCCAGCAGCCUGUGCCUGCCCCUGGGGCGGGGGGUGAGGUCCGCUGACCGCUGGACACAUGCAUAGUGAAAGGCACAGGGCUGCAGAGUCACCUUGGGGACCUCCUCCUUUGCCCGGCACCCCUGGUCCCCCGCAAGCAGCAUUUCGGGGGUGGUUUGCUCUGGGCACUAAAACUGGGGGACGUGGCCUCCCCCAGCAUGGGGAGCGCCCAGGGGAUGUUGUUGCUGGCCAACAACAUGGGGGGGUGUGCUGUGCUGCCUGGACAAUGCUCGGACCCGUGGAGGUGGACAGUGACGUGGACUUCAAGAUGCAACUGGGCCCCCUGCUAAGCGACUGGAGUCGCUGCGGCAGCCUCGGCAGGUCGGCCAGGGGGGCGGAGGGUCUCCCAUGCCAGCACCGCUCAAGGGUGCAGACGCGCAGCUCUGAUGAGCCCAUGACCACCUUCGUUGUCUGCAAUGAGUGUGGAAAUCGCUGGAAGUUCUGCUGAGCCUUGGGAUGUGCGUGAAGCCUCAGGCUGCGGCCAGCACAGUGCCGCGGCCUCCCCGUGUCCUCUGUCGACAGUCACCGCUUCUCGGCAGCCGCCCUGUGCCCACCUGAACUUCCCCAGAGGGCUGCGCACCCUGCUCCCCAACCUUGCCUGCGGUAUACCUUUCUUCCUCUUUCCCCCAAAUUAUUAAAUGUUUCUGUUUGCCA